rnacentral:misc_RNA from 1 species
UUCCGGUAGGUCGCCAGCUGAGGCGGUUUGUAAGUUUUGGGUCGCAGUAUGCUAGAAUUUUGAGGCUCCCUUCUGAUGAAAAUUGAGCUGUCCAUGCAGCCAUGGAACCCGGGUUACAGCAGUGAGGGGGCCACGGCUCAAGAAACUUACACAUGUCCAAAAAUGAUUGAGAUGGAGCAGGCGGAGGCCCAGCUUGCUGAGUUAGACCUGCUAGCCAGUAUGUUCCCUGGUGAGAAUGAGCUCAUAGUGAAUGACCAGCUGGCUGUAGCAGAACUGAAAGAUUGUAUUGAAAAGAAGACAAUGGAGGGGCGAUCUUCAAAAGUCUACUUUACUAUCAAUAUGAACCUGGAUGUAUCUGACGAAAAAAUGAUCAGUAUUAUUGAGUAGAUCCCAGCAGACUCAGCUGAACACAGAUCUGACUGCAUUCCUGCAAAAACAUUGUCAUGGAGAUGUUUGUAUACUGAAUGCCACAGAGUGGGUUAGAGAACACGCCUCUGGCUAUGUCAGCAGAGAUACUUCAUCUUCACCCACCACAGGAAGCACAGUCCAGUCAGUUGACCUCAUCUUCACGAGACUCUGGAUCUACAGCCAUCAUAUCUAUAACAAAUGCAAAAGAAAGAAUAUUCUAGAGUGGGCAAAGGAGCUUUCCCUGUCUGGGUUUAGCAUGCCUGGAAAACCUGGUGUUGUUUGUGUGGAAGGCCCACAAAGUGCCUGUGAAGAAUUCUGGUCAAGACUCAGAAAAUUAAACUGGAAGAGAAUUUUAAUUCGCCAUCGAGAAGACAUUCCUUUUGAUGGUACAAAUGAUGAAACGGAAAGACAAAGGAAAUUUUCCAUUUUUGAAGAAAAAGUGUUCAGUGUUAAUGGAGCCAGGGGAAACCACAUGGACUUUGGUCAGCUCUAUCAGUUCUUAAACACCAAAGGAUGUGGGGAUGUUUUCCAGAUGUUCUUUGGUGUAGAAGGACAAUGACAUCAAGAGUAGUUGAAAGUAUCUUGCCACUGUUGGCCUUUUGAUUUUUUUUUCCCACUUUUUCUUGAAAGAUUAAGUAAUUUUAUUUUAGUUCCAUUCUAGAAUGUUGGGGAGUGGGGCACAAGAAAAAAUAGUAUAGCUGAAAUGCAUCUGUUAAAAAUGUCAUGAUUGAAAGCAGAACUGAGUUUCAAAUUACAACCUUAAAAUUGUUGUUAGAUAUUUCUUCACAUAUCAGCUGCCCAUUUUGAAAAAGAAAUUAUCCAUAAAGGUAAUGUUGGUGCUCCAAUUUGCCAGCCAUUCCCAACCCCCUUCUCCCUUACCUGCCUUCACUAAAGAACCCAGAAAAGCUAAUUGCUCCCCUUUCAGCCUCUGUUGCAACUAACAACUCUCAGUGGCCUCAGGACACAGCUUUGGCCUUGGGAAUUCUGGGAAAACUUUUACUUCCUGAUUAAAGAUACAUAUGCAGCUAGGCCACCUCCUCCCCCCCUUACUGCCAUAAACACCAAAGUGAUGACUGGAGCUGGAGGAGUUAUUUGAACCACGACGAAGGGCCAAGAGAACCACGAAGAUGCCAGUUGCCACAUUGUUGAGCUGCUGACCCAACACCAGCCAUUGCCUGUCUCUAAACAUCUUAUGAAAUAAAACCAGUUUUGUUUAA